UACAGAGGGUGCAAGCGUUGUUCGGAAUUAUUGGGCGUAAAGGGAGUGUAGGCGGCCAUUUAAGUCUUCUGUGAAAUUUACGAGCUUAACUUGUAACGUGCAGAGGAUACUGGGUGGCUUGAGUGUCGGAGAGGAUAGUGGAAUUCCCGGUGUAGAGGUGAAAUUCGUAGAGAUCGGGAGGAACACCGGUGGCGAAGGCGGCUCUCUGGACCACAACUGACGCUGAGGCGCGAAAGCGUGGGGAGCAAACAGG
rnacentral:rRNA from 1 species